GUGGUAAUGCCGGAUGCUCCGGUUGGAUGCAUGUCCUUCCGGGAAAGAUCCAUCGGUAUGGGAUGGGGUCGCGUCCUAUCAGCUUGAUGGCGGGGUAACGGCCCACCAUGGCUUCGACGGGUAGCCGGCCUGAGAGGGCGACCGGCCACAUUGGGACUGAGAUACGGCCCAGACUCCUACGGGAGGCAGCAGUGGGGAAUAUUGCACAAUGGGCGCAAGCCUGAUGCAGCGACGCCGCGUGCGGGAUGGAGGCCUUCGGGUUGUAAACCGCUUUUGAUCGGGAGCAAGCCCUUCGGGGUGAGUGUACCUUUCGAAUAAGCACCGGCUAACUACGUGCCAGCAGCCGCGGUAAUACGUAGGGUGCAAGCGUUAUCCGGAAUUAUUGGGCGUAAAGGGCUCGUAGGCGGUUCGUCGCGUCCGGUGUGAAAGCCCAUCGCUUAACGGUGGGUCUGCGCCGGGUACGGGCGGGCUGGAGUGCGGUAGGGGAGACUGGAAUUCCCGGUGUAACGGUGGAAUGUGUAGAUAUCG
rnacentral:rRNA from 1 species